rnacentral:rRNA from 1 species
GAACUGAAGAGUUUGAUCCUGGCUCAGAUUGAACGCUGGCGGCAUGCCUUACACAUGCAAGUCGAACGGCAGCACGGGUGCUUGCACCUGGUGGCGAGUGGCGAACGGGUGAGUAAUACAUCGGAACAUGUCCUGUAGUGGGGGAUAGCCCGGCGAAAGCCGGAUUAAUACCGCAUACGAUC